rnacentral:misc_RNA from 1 species
UUAAGUUCAGCGGGUAUCCCCGCCCGAUUCGAGGUCGUCUAGGGGUGGUCAAUGCCUCAUCCCGUAUCCCGCGCGCGAACGAGGCCUGUGUAGGGCACUAUAUUACUACGCUUAGGGCUGUUAGGGCUGGGCAGCUAAUGAAUUUCGAGGGGCCGCCCCCAGGCGGUUCCCUCAACACCGGGCCACGAAGGCCCGAGAGG